GACGAACGCUGGCGGCGUGCCUAAUACAUGCAAGUAGAACGCUGAAGAGAGGAGCUUGCUCUUCUUGGAUGAGUUGCGAACGGGUGAGUAACGCGUGGGUAACCUGCCUUGUAGCGGGGGAUAACUAUUGGAAACGAUAGCUAAUACCGCAUAACAAUGGAUGACACAUGUCAUUUAUUUGAAAGGGGCAAUUGCUCCACUACAAGAUGGACCUGCGUUGUAUUAGCUAGUAGGUGAGGUAAUGGCUCACCUAGGCGACGAUACAUAGCCGACCUGAGAGGGUGGUCGGCCACACUGGGACUGAGACACGGCCCAGACUCCUACGAGAGGCAGCAGUAGGGAAUCUUCGGCAAUGGGGGCAACCCUGACCGAGCAACGCCGCGUGAGUGAAGAAGGUUUUCGGAUCGUAAAGCUCUGUUGUAAGUCAAGAACGGGUGUGAGAGUGGAAAGUUCACACUGUGACGGUAGCUUACCAGAAAGGGACGGCUAACUACGUG
rnacentral:rRNA from 1 species